CGCAGCUCCCCAAUUCUCUACCAUCCCUCCAUAGGUAAAACAAAAUUGAUUUUUGUGUCUCCUUAAUUUUUGAAAAGUCUUUGCUUUUUUUUUUUUUGAUCAUUUUGGUUGAUUCUAUAUCAAUCUGCAGAUCAAUUGCAUUUAGCAAGAGAAAAUCGAAUUUUAUUUUGCACAAUUUUGGUGCUUAACUUCUCUGAUUUUUUUUUAAUGUUAUGCACAACCCAAUCAUUACUUGAAAAGAAUGUUCUUCCUAAUUGUUA
rnacentral:lncRNA from 1 species